rnacentral:rRNA from 1 species
GACGAACGCUGGCGGCGUGCCUAACACAUGCAAGUCGAGCGAGUGAAUCUCCUUCGGGAGUGAAGCUAGCGGCGGACGGGUGAGUAACACGUGGGCAACCUGCCUCAUAGAGGGGAAUAGCCUUUCGAAAGGAAGAUUAAUACCGCAUAAGAUUGUAGCUUCGCAUGAAGUAGCAAUUAAAGGAGCAAUCCGCUAUGAGAUGGGCCAGCGGCGCAUUAGCUAGUUGGUUAGGUAACGGCUAACCAAGGCGACGAUGCGUAGCCGACCUGAGAGGGUGAUCGGCCACAUUGGGACUGAGACACGGCCAGACUCCUACGGGAGGCAGCAGUGGGGAAUAUUGCACAAUGGGGGAAACCCUGAUGCAGCAACGCCGCGUGAGUGAUGACGGCCUUCGGGUUGUAAAGCUCUGUCUUCAGGGACGAUAAUGACGGUACCUGAGGAGGAAGCCACGGCUAACUACGUGCCAGCAGCCGCCGUAA